AGGGUUUGAUCCUGGCUCAGGGCUAACGCUGGCAGCGUGCCUUAGCCAUGCAAGUCGAGCGGGGCGAUACGCCUUCGGGUGUAUCGCUUAGCGGCGGACGGCGGAGUAACACGUGACCAACCUGCCCUCCGGGGGGGGGACAACCCAUCGAAAGGUGGGCUAAUCCCCCAUACAGCCUGCCUGGGGCAUCCUGGGUGGGUGAAAGGUGGCCUCUGCAUGCAAGCUACCGCCGGGGGAGGGGGUCGCGGCCCAUCAGGUAGUUGGUGGGGUAACGGCCCACCAAGCCGACGACGGGUAGCCGGCGUGAGAGCGUGGCCGGUCCGAGGGGCACUGAGACACGGGCCCCACUCCUACGGGAGGCAGCAGGCUGGAAAUUUGGGCAAUGGGGGAAACCCUGACCCAGCGACGCUGCGUGGGGGAAGAAGCCCUUCGGGGUGUAAACCCCUGUCGGGGAGGACGAAGGGUCUAUGGGCGAACAGUCCAUGGGCUUGACGGUACUCCCGGAGGAAGCCCCGGCUAACCCCGUGCCAGCAGCCGCGGUAAUACGGGGGGGGCGAGCGUUGCCCGGAAUCACUGGGCUUAAAGGGGGCGUAGGCGGUAGGGCAAGUCCGGUGUGUAAUUCCGGGGCUCAACCUCGGGACUGCACUGGAGACUGCUCUACUUGAGGGCGUCAGAGGAGAGCGGAACGCCUGGUGUAGCGGUGAAAUGCGCAGAUAUCAGGCGGAACGCCGGUGGCGAAGGCGGCUCUCUGGGGCGACCCUGACGCUGAGGCCCGAAAGCCAGGGGAGCGAAGGGGAUUAGAUACCCCCGUAGUCCUGGCUGUAAACGAUGUCCACUAGGUGUUGGUCCCGAUACGUCGGGAUCAGUGCCGAAGGGAAACCGAUAAGUGGACCGCCUGGGGAGUACGCUCGCAAGGGUGAAACUCAAAGGAAUUGGCGGGGGCCCGCACAAGCGGCGGAGCGCGUGGUUUAAUUCGAUGCUAACCGAAGAACCUUACCUGGGCUUGACAUGCAGGUGGUACCCUGUCCGAAAGGGUGGGGGACCUCUUCGGGGGAGCCUGCACAGGUGCUGCACGGCUGUCGUCAGCUCGUGCCGUGAGGUGUUGGGUUAAGUCCCGCAACGAGCGCAACCCCUGCCCUUAGUUGCCACGGCGGUCAUGGACCGGCCGGGGACACUAAGGGGACUGCCCCGGUGAACGGGGAGGAAGGUGGGGAUGACGUCAAGUCCGUGUGGCCUUUAUGCCCAGGGCUACACACGCGCUACAAUGGCCGGUACAGAGGGAAGCGACCCUGCGAGGGGGAGCGGAUCCCGGAAAGCCGGUCUCAGUACGGAUCGCAGUCUGCAACUCGACUGCGUGAAGCCGGAGUCGCUAGUAAUCGCCGGUCAGCAAAACGGCGGUGAAUACGUUCCCGGGCCUUGCACACACCGCCCGUCACGCCAUGGGAGCCGGCAACACCCGAAGAUGGCUGGCCCAACCCCGUAAGGGGAGGGAGGUCGUUGAGGGUGGGGUCGGUGACUGGGGCGAAGUCGUAACAAGGUAGCCGUACGGGAACGUGCGGCUG
rnacentral:rRNA from 1 species